rnacentral:rRNA from 1 species
ACAUACCGAAAGGUAUGCUAAUACGUGAUAACAUGUAAUGAUCGCAUGGUCGAUACAUCAAAGCUCCGGCGGUACAGGAUGGACCCGCGUCUGAUUAGCUAGUUGGUGAGGUAAUGGCUCACCAAGGCGACGAUCAGUAGCCGACCUGAGAGGGUGAUCGGCCACAUUGGAAGUGAGACACGGUCCAAACUCCUACGGGAGGCAGCAGUGGGGAAUAUUGCACAGUGGGCGAAAGCCUGAGCGAGCGAACGCCGC